GGCAUCCUUAGUCCACAUCAACCAAGGUGGUAUAAAAACAGCACUGCACUUGGUUUGCAUUCUGUGCCCUGAAGCAGAAAUGCCUUUAAUUGUUCAUUGUGAAAUAAACAGAUGUCUACUGGAGAAGAUUAUUAAAAACAUUUUGUGCACUUUGGGAGAACUAGAGGUCAGGACUGCUUGACCUAGCAUCUCAAAGGAAACCCAAGCCAACCCAGCUACCAAGGUGAACAAGGAAGAUGGUGGUCCUAUGAGCAACAGCAGCCAGUGGCCUGGCACUGCACCCUGCGAGGCAGCCAAGACCAAGGGCGGUCUGAAUCCAGACAGGUAAAGGACUGAAGCGCCUGGAAACCGAUGUCUUGUAAUACCUGUGCGGCCGAGCGAUGUCCGCAGUUGAAGUUGAAAUUUUAAACCUUCUGUGCGCAGCGGGAGCGCAGUGGGCCGACCUCCUAGGCCCGCGCUUCGGUGCUGGGGGCGCGCCCUCCCCGCCCCCCGAAGAACCCUGUGCCCGGGAAUGGGAAAGCCUCCUCUCCUCGCCUCCGACGCGCAGCGCCGGGCCCCUUUCCUCCCGGGGAGGUGGAUUCCAGGGCACCGCAGACUCCUCCCCAGGUAGGGCAGCUCCCGGGGAGGCGCAGGGGAGCGCGCGCUCACGGCAGGGACCCCGGGCGGGGUCGGCAACCGGAGACACAGGUGCGAAGUUCUGCCUUCCGCCGCCGACCUCCCUUCCUUGAACCUGCUCCUCGUCUCCCAUCCCCCACCAGGUAGCAGCAUCCGCUGCUCGGGGCAGCGCAGCUCGGCUCCGGAACCCUGCGACCCGGCGGCACAGCUGGA
rnacentral:lncRNA from 1 species